GACGAACGCUGGCGGCGUGCUUAACACAUGCAAGUCGAACGGAAAGGCCCUGCUUUUGUGGGGUGCUCGAGUGGCGAACGGGUGAGUAACACGUGAGUAACCUGCCCUUGACUUUGGGAUAACUUCAGGAAACUGGGGCUAAUACCGGAUAGGCGCUCCUGCUGCAUGGUGGGGGUUGGAAAGUUUCGGCGGUUGGGGAUGGACUCGCGGAUUAUCAGCUUGUUGGUGGGGUAGUGGCUUACCAAGGCUUUGACGGGUAGCCGGCCUGAGAGGGUGACCGGCCACAUUGGGACUGAGAUACGGCCCAGACUCCUACGGGAGGCAGCAGUGGGGAAUAUUGCACAAUGGGCGGAAGCCUGAUGCAGCAACGCCGCGUGCGGGAUGACGGCCUUCGGGUUGUAAACCGCUUUCGCCUGUGACGAAGCGUGAGUGACGGUAAUGGGUAAAGAAGCACCGGCUAACUACGUG
rnacentral:rRNA from 1 species